AGAGUGUUGCGACGUUCGAGCCUCAGGUGGUAAAGGCCAGUGAUCACUGGACUCUCAGAAGACCAAUGCACGGGAAGCUUAUCACGAUGUCACCUGCCACGCACAGGUGACAACCUCCAAGGUCUCUGGGCCGAAAGGUGACUCCUGUCAACACAGCAGGACACUUCUGAGACCAAGCAAGCGUGAGGACGUCAGGCCACGGAGAGGGCGACUGGGAAGGACCACUUCUGGGACAGCGUGGCAUCCGUUUUAGCAGCGAGCGCACAGCCUGCGGUCCCUCCGGCGGCCGCACAAACGGCUUCGAUGAGUUGACGGUAUUUAACAUGAAACACGUCAGUCGAAGGAUCAGUUACCGCUCAGUGUAUAUUUAUUCCUUAUGUUCCAUCUUUCUUCAGUUUCCUAAUCCUUUUCUUCAGUGCCCACGAGUAAAAAAAGGGCGUUUUUACAAGUUAAAAACCAAGGCUGACCCAGAAGAGACAGCAAAACCACUUUCGGGCGGUCACUCUGAGCGUUUUUCUCACGCGUGGGGUCGGAGGCACCAAAACGUCCCCGCGGUCAGGGGGACAUAGCGGAACAGGAGACUCCAGCAAGUCGAGGCGUGCUCGGCCUGCGGAUGUGAACAUGUUGGGCUCUUGUUCCCCGUCGCCGUGUGUGAGAACAUCUCUUGGAUGCUGGAAAUUUGGGGUAUCAUUUGGGAAAAGUGUUAUUAUUCUUGAUCAUUGUGCCAGACUCACAGCUCGUCUUUCUGAAUGCCUGCGGCUGAAUUUCAGGAGCCAUUUGAGUAAGUACUGGAAGUUUUUGCUGUUAAAGCCACAUAUAGAGAAUGGAUUGAGUGUCAGAGGUCUUGAUUAUGAGGUUUUCAUUCCUGUAGCACGUUUAUACUUUUCACUAUGGAAUUAAAGAUACUAACUGUAAUAUUAUAUUAAUUACUUUUAAAGAUAUCAAUAUGAAAGAUAUUAAAGAAAGAAACCGUGUUUUCAAAAUUCUAAACAAUUUUAAGUGAU